AAGAGGGAUAUAAACAACUAGUGCUGCUAAUACAAGUUACCGAGACUAACACUCACGGCCCUCUU
rnacentral:tRNA from 1 species